UACGGAGGGUGCGAGCGUUGUCCGGAAUCAUUGGGCGUAAAGGGCGCGUAGGUGGCCCGGUCAGUUCGUGGUGAAAGCGCGGGGCUCAACUCCGCGUCGGCCAUGAAUACUGCUGGGCUUGAGCACUGUAGAGGCAGGCGGAAUUCCGGGUGUAGGCGGUGGAAUGGCGUAGAGAUCCGGAAGAACACCGGUGGCGAAGGCGGCCUGCUGGGCAGUGGCUGGCGCUGAG
rnacentral:rRNA from 1 species